rfam:Stegodyphus mimosarum contig115745, whole genome shotgun sequence.
GCUUUCGUGGUGUAGCGGGUAGCACAUUCGGCGCGUAUUCCAGAGGUCCAAGUUCGAGUCCCGGCGAGGGCA